GACGAACGCUGGCGGCGUGCUUAACACAUGCAAGUCGAACGGAAAGGCCCUGCUUUUGUGGGGUGCUCGAGUGGCGAACGGGUGAGUAACACGUGAGUAACCUGCCCUUGACUUUGGGAUAACUUCAGGAAACUGGGGCUAAUACCGGAUAGGAGCUCCUGCUGCAUGGUGGGGGUUGGAAAGUUUCGGCGGUUGGGGAUGGACUCGCGGCUUAUCAGCUUGUUGGUGGGGUAGUGGCUUACCAAGGCUUUGACGGGUAGCCGGCCUGAGAGGAUGACCGGCCACAUUGGGACUGAGAUACGGCCCAGACUCCUACGGGUGGCAGCAGUGGGGAAUAUUGCACAAUGGGCGGAAGCCUGAUGCAGCAACGCCGCGUGCGGGAUGACGGCCUUCGGGUUGUAACCCGCUUUCGCCUGUGACGAAGCGUGAGUGACGGUAAUGGGUAAAGAAGCACCGGCUAACUACGUG
rnacentral:rRNA from 1 species